GGGAUGUGACCAGCAAGAACCUGUUGAGGGAGGAGAAGCCUGACUUCUUGGAGUUCCCUCCCCGGCUGGUGGCAGAGCAGUUGACACUGAUGGAUGUGGAUCUCUUCAAGAAAGUGAUGCCCCACGACUUCCUGGACUCCAUCUGGUCCCAGUGUGACAACAGGGGUAAUGAGCACCUGGCACCCACCAUCCAUGCCAACACGACCCACUUUAAUACAAUGGUCGAAUGUGUCGUCACCACCUGCAUUGGGGACCCGAGCAUGACGGUCCAGGACAGGGCCAGGGUGGUGGAGCUCUGAAUCCACAUGGCCAGGGAAGAACUGGACAAAACUUAAAAAGUUGAUGAAAAC